rnacentral:lncRNA from 1 species
CCUAGUAGAUGUAGUAGUCUUGGAUAAACCAUAAAAAUGAAGUCCAGCAUAAACUGGCAUCAUUUAAGAAUCAUCAUUGAUAUGAUUCCAUCUUAGCGGUGCCAUGUAGUUCCAAGUUCCGAAACAGCUGAAUUUGCGUCGAAAGAAUCUCAAGGUCGCCAGUUGUUAUCGAUGCGAAAUUACGAGCUUUUAAAAUAAUCGCACAACAACAGUCUUUGCAUAAUAGUCUUUGUGUUUUACGACGUAACGCAGACGCAUUAAUGACAUGAUAAUGUAGCGCCAAAUGGAAAAAACCCGGAGCUUGCAAAUAGACGCUGUGUUACGCGUACAAGAUUCUGUCCCGCGUGUUUUGUCGUGCAUUUCUGCUUUACAUUGGGAAUAUACUGGCUUAGAGAGCUUGGAGAUGGCGGGCGAGAAAAAUACAAACGAUCCUGGUUACGCUUGAACGUCUUAUCACAAAGUGGACACGCGUGCGGUCUCAAGUCUGAAUGCGUUAUGCUGUGGGCACGUAACGUCGAAUUCGUCGGGUAAACUCUACCACAUACGUUGCACGGAAAUUGUACGCCACCAU